rnacentral:tRNA from 1 species
UGCGGAGGUCGCCCAGCCCGGUCAAAGGCGGCAGCUUUAGGGGCUGUUCUCGCAGGAGUUCAUGGGUUCGAAUCCCAUCCUCCGCAUC